rnacentral:rRNA from 1 species
UACGUAGGGGGCGAGCGUUGUCCGGAAUUACUGGGCGUAAAGCGUGCGCAGGCGGUUAUGUAAGACAGGUGUGAAAUCCCCGGGCUUAACCUGGGAACUGCAUUUGUGACUGCAUAGCUUGAGUGCGGCAGAGGGGGAUGGAAUUCCGCGUGUAGCAGUGAAAUGCGUAGAUAUGCGGAGGAACACCGAUGGCGAAGGCAAUCCCCUGGGCCUGCACUGACGCUCAUGCACGAAAGCGUGGGGAGCAAACAGG